rnacentral:rRNA from 1 species
AGAAUCAACGCUGGCGGCGUGCCUAACACAUGCAAGUCGAACGCGAAAUGGGCUUCGGCCCAAAUCGAGUGGCGAACGGGUGAGUAACACGUGGGUGAUCUACCUUCGAGCGGGGGAUAACGUUCCGAAAGGACGCUAAUACCGCAUGACGUCCUGGGUUUAAAGACCUGGAGACCAAAGCUAGGACCGCAAGGCCUGGCACUUGAAGAGGAGCCCGCGUCCGAUUAGCUAGUUGGCGGGGUAAUGGCCCACCAAGGCGACGAUC